CAAAGAAGUAUAUCGAGGUAAUUUUAUUGAUAUCUUCUCAUCUUGAUGAUGUUCUUCCGUCCGAACACAAACGCAACCAUUGUUGAUGUCAAUAAUGUAUCAUUCAGGCCGGUGCAUCAGAGCACGCGAGAGCACUUGGCCCUAAAGGUUCCGAUGCCCACAAGGCUGCAGUGAUCGGCGAUACCAUCGGGGAUCCUCUAAAGGACACGUCGGGGCCGUCGCUCAACAUCCUCAUCAAGCUGAUGGCGGUGGAGUCGCUCGUGUUCGCACCAUUCUUUGCGGCUCACGGCGGCCUCCUCUUCAAGAUCCUCUGAGAUGGGAGAGGGGGGGGGACCGAGAGUGGGAAGGAGGCACCACCACGAGCUCCACUUCCACCUCCAUGUUCUUCUGCUACUGAUGCCAAACCUCUGUCACCCUGUCAACUGUUUGGCCUACCCAGUUUUCCGUCUUUAUGGUUAGUUCGUGUUGUAGUUCCAUGCAAGUCGGCACCUGCAAAGCCCCAUCGUGGACUUUGGAGCCAAGCAAGCUUUUCUUGUACUCGGUGAUGAUGAUAAUGGUGUUGACAGUUUUCUUUUCUUUUAAAUGGUGAUGAUAGUUGGAAAUGAUUCACCAAUAAGUUUUCUGCUGGCCAUAGCUACAGGGAGUUGGGUGUCUAAUGUCAUCAUCAUACAUGAUGCAGCCCAAGAUUUGAAAUUAAGAUUAAUUGAUUUUAUUAAUCAUCAUACAAAGCAUACGUGAUUGAUUUCGUAAAGGUCAAAAAAGAAAACUCAAAGCCUACAAAAUUUGCUUGAGUAAUUAUGUUAUUGUUUUCUCACCUUAUUAGGUGUUCGG
rnacentral:lncRNA from 1 species